GACGUAGGGGGCCAGCGUUGUUCGGAAUUACUGGGUGUAAAGGGUUCGUAGGCGGUGUAGCAAGUCGGGAGUGAAAUCUCUGGGCUUAACCCAGAGGCUGCUUCCGAAACUGCUGUGCUUGAGUGUGGGAGAGGCGCGUGGAAUUGCAGGUGUAGCGGUGAAAUGCGUAGAUAUUGGGAGGAACACCAGUGGCGAAGGCGGCUCACUGGACCGGUUCUGACGCUGAGGCGCGAAAGCGUGGGGAGCAAACGGG
rnacentral:rRNA from 1 species